AACAAACGCUGGCGGCGUGCCUAAUACAUGCAAGUCGAACGAGGUAGCAAUACCUAGUGGCGCACGGGUGAGUAACGCGUGGAUAAUCUGCCUUUGAGUGGGGGAUAACUAGUCGAAAGAUUAGCUAAUACCGCAUAAGACCACAGGAACUGAGGAUCUAGGGGUUAAAGGUUUUUCGCUCAUAGUUGAGUCCGCGUGAGAUUAGCUAGUUGGUGAGGUAACGGCUCACCAAGGCGACGAUCUCUAACUGGUCUGAGAGGAUGAUCAGUCACACUGGAACUGAGACACGGUCCAGACUCCUACGGGAGGCAGCAGUAGGGAAUAUUGCACAAUGGAGGAAACUCUGAUGCAGCGACGCCGCGUGAGUGAUGAAGGCUUUCGGGUCGUAAAGCUCUGUCGCAGGGGAAUAACACAAUGAAUGUACCCUGUAAGAAAGGAUCGGCUAACUUCGUGCCAGCCGCCGCGGUAA
rnacentral:rRNA from 1 species